rnacentral:rRNA from 1 species
AGUAAAAGUCGUAACAAGGUUUCCGUAGGUGAACCUGCGGAAGGAUCAUUAAUGAAUUGAAAGGGAGUUGAUGCUGGCCAGGUCUCUGGCAUGUGCUCGCUUCCGACAAUCUUAUCCAUACACCUGUGCACACUGUGAGGGCAUGCAAGUGCCCUUAUUUACUACAUACACCUAAUAUGGAAAUCGCACGUGACUUGCGUCGUAUGGCGCUUAAAACUAAAAACAACUUUUAACAACGGAUCUCUUGGCUCUCGCAUCGAUGAAGAACGCAGCGAAAUGCGAUAAGUAAUGUGAAUUGCAGAAUUCAGUGAAUCAUCGAAUCUUUGAACGCACCUUGCGCUCCUUGGUAUUCCGAGGAGUACGCCUGUUCGAGUGUCGUGAAACUCUCAAGCUAGAUGCUUUAGUGUCAUCUACUUGGUUAUUGGACUCUGCUGUCUCCUUGUCUGGAACGGCUGGUCUCAAAUGUAUUAGCUGGUCCUUGUUGUGGGAUUUGGUUCUACUCAGCGUGAUAAUCUAUGACCGCUGAGGACAUCUCUCGGGAUGGCCAAGCCUGCCUUGGGCUGCUUCUAACUCAUCAUCAUGAUAUUUUUCAACUUUGACCUCGAAUCAGGCGGGACUACCCGCUGAACUUAAGCAUAUCAAUAAGCGGAGGA